AAGACCUUGUGCUUUUGGAGCGGCCGAUGCCUGAUUAGCUUGUUGGUAAGGUAAAAGCUUACCAAGGCUUCGAUCAGUAGCUGGUCUGAGAGGACGACCAGCCACACUGGGACUGAGACACGGCCCAGACUCCUACGGGAGGCAGCAGUGGGGAAUUUUGGACAAUGGGGGCAACCCUGAUCCAGCCAUGCCGCGUGAGUGAAGAAGGCCUUCGGGUUGUAAAGCUCUUUCAGCCGGAACGAAACGGUUACGGAUAAUACCCGUGACUACUGACGGUACCGGAAGAAGAAGCACCGGCUAACUACGUGCCAGCAGCCGCGGUAAUACGUAGGGUGCAAGCGUUAAUCGGAAUUACUGGGUGUAAAGCGUGCGCAGGUGGUUUUGUAAGUCAGAUGUGAAAGCCCCGGGCUCAACCUGGGAACU
rnacentral:rRNA from 1 species